AAAUCUAUUUCACCAUUAUUGUGGAGAAAUAACUUUUUAUCUCUACUUUAAAACCCUCUUGUGUUCUGUUUAAUUGUGUUCUUUAGAGUUAUGUCCUGCGGAAAGAGACUAAGUUACUGAGGAACUGUGGAAGUCAGUGUCAUAUAAAAUAUCAGAAUCGCAUCAAAGGACACAUAGGAUUCAAGACAUCAUAUCACAACUGUUUCGAGGCCUAGUGAGAUGGGAAUUAGAGAUAGAGUACUGGUUGCCAAGUUCAUCCGAAGUACACCUGCAAGUAAUAAUUGGAUCCACCUUGAACUCUUUAAUAGGCAAAUCCCAACUUUAGCUGAAGCUGUUUAUAAGAUGCCAACCUUUCCUGAGCAACUAAAUUUUAACACCACCCUCUCAGGCUGUGUGUCUAAAUGAAGAUCCAGGAUUACAUUUUAAUAGGUGAGCCUUCUGUUUCAUUUUUGUUCUACAUUUAAAAUAACUUUCUUAAAAGAAAAAAAGCAUUGAUGUUUCUGCUUACUUUGCAUGCCACAAUCUUCAGAGGUGUAGUUGCUUUGGUGAGAGAAUUCAUCUCUCCUGUUAUGAGGGCAAGUCAUAUGACUUCCAUUAAAUUAGUGAUUCUCAACCAAUGAAAUCACCGGGGAGCUUUUACAAGGGCUGAUGCCUGGGUCGCACCCCAGAGAUUCUGAGGCAAUUGGUUUGGAGUUCAGCUUCCCCGGCAUCGGAUUUUUAAAAGCUCCCCAAGUGAUUCUAAUGUGCAGCUGAAGUUGAAAAUCACUGCACUAAUUAAUAGAAUAAUAAUGAAUCACCAAAUCACAGAGAAGACCGCACAGAUAAAACUAUGGUUAUAAUUGGAAACCUAUUAUUUUUGUGAAA
rnacentral:lncRNA from 1 species